rnacentral:rRNA from 1 species
UACGUAGGGACCAAGCGUUGUUCGGAUUUACUGGGCGUAAAGGGCGCGUAGGCGGCAAUUCAAGUCCUCUGUGAAAUCUCCGGGCUUAACUCGGAAUGGUCAGGUGAUACUGCUUUGCUAGAGUGCAGAAGGGGCAAUCGGAAUUCUUGGUGUAGCGGUGAAAUGCGUAGAUAUCAAGAGGAACACCUGAGGUGAAGACGGGUUGCUGGGCUGACACUGACGCUGAGGCGCGAAAGCUAGGGGAGCAAACGGG